GGCUGGAAUCUCUCGGGGUUACAGCCUUGCUGAAUUAUUCACCCUUGUCUUUUGCGUACUUCUUGUUUCCUGUGGUGGGUUCGCGCACCACUAGGACAAACAUAAACCUUUUGUAAUUGCAAUCAGCGUCAGUAACAAAUUAAUAAUUACAACUUUCAACAACGGAUCUCUUGGUUCUGGCAUCGAUGAAGAACGCAGCGAAAUGCGAUAAGUAGUGUGAAUUGCAGAAUUCAGUGAAUCAUCGAAUCUUUGAACGCACAUUGCGCCCUUUGGUAUUCCAAAGGGCAUGCCUGUUCGAGCGUCAUUUGUACCCUCAAGCUUUGCUUGGUGUUGGGCGUCUUGUCUCUAGCUUUGCUGGAGACUCGCCUUAAAGUAAUUGGCAGCCGGCCUACUGGUUUCGGAGCGCAGCACAAGUCGCACUCUCUAUCAGCAAAGGUCUAGCAUCCAUUAAGCCUUUUUUCAACUUUUGACCUCGGAUCAGGUAGGGAUAC
rnacentral:rRNA from 1 species